UGGGGCGUAGCCAAGCGGUAAGGCACCGGUUUUUGGCACCGGCAUCCGCAGGUUCGAAUCCUGCCGCCCCAACCA
rnacentral:tRNA from 1 species